rnacentral:rRNA from 1 species
GACGAACGCUGGCGGCGUGCUUAACACAUGCAAGUCGAACGGAAAGGCCCCUUCGGGGGUGCUCGAGUGGCGAACGGGUGAGUAACACGUGGGUGAUCUGCCCUGCACUUUGGGAUAAGCCUGGGAAACUGGGUCUAAUACCGAAUACUUCCUACUGGUUGCAUGGCUGGUAGGGGAAAGCUUUUGCGGUGUGGGAUGAGCCCGCGGCCUAUCAGCUUGUUGGUGGGGUGAUGGCCUACCAAGGCGACGACGGGUAGCCGGCCUGAGAGGGUGUCCGGCCACACUGGGACUGAGAUACGGCCCAGACUCCUACGGGAGGCAGCAGUGGGGAAUAUUGCACAAUGGGCGCAAGCCUGAUGCAGCGACGCCGCGUGGGGGAUGACGGCCUUCGGGUUGUAAACCUCUUUCAGUACCGACGAAGCGUAAGUGACGGUAGGUACAGAAGAAGCACCGGCCAACUACGUGC